GACAUCGUGGCCGAGUGGUUAAGGCGACAGAUUAGAAAUCUGUUUCAUUCGCGAGCGUAGGUUCAAAUCCUGCCGAUGUCG
rnacentral:tRNA from 1 species